rnacentral:sRNA from 1 species
UGCAGCGGCAGCCCCGCUAAGAACGCGACGUCCUGUCGCAACGCGGGACACGGUACAUCCUGUACG